CCAAUAGCGUAUAUUAAAGUUGUUGCAGUUAAAAAGCUCGUAGUUGAAUUUCGGGGUUAGUAGGUUGGUCAUGCCUCUGGUAUGUACUGGUCUCACUGAUUCCUCCUUCCUGAUGAACCUUAAUGCCAUUUAUUUGGUGUUUUGGGGAAUUUGGACUGUUACUUUGAAAAAAUUAGAGUGUUUAAAGCAAGCUAACGCUUGAAUACAUUAGCAUGGAAUAAUGAAAUAGGACGUUCGAUCCUAUUUUGUUGGUUUCUAGGAUUGACGUAAUGAUUAAUAGGGAUAGUUGGGGGAAUUAGUAUUCAAUUGUCAGAGGUGAAAUUCUUGGAUUUAUUGAAGACUAACUACUGCGAAAGCAUUUGCCAAGGAUGUUUUCAUUAAUCAAGAACGAAAGUUAGGGGAUCGAAGACGAUCAGAUACCGUCGUAGUCUUAACCAUAAACUAUGCCGACUAGGGAUCGGAUGAUGUUAAUUUUUUAAUGACUCAUUCGGCGCCUUACG
rnacentral:misc_RNA from 1 species